UAGGGAAUAUUCCACAAUGAGCGAAAGCUUGAUGGAGCGACACAGCGUGCACGAUGAAGGUCUUCGGAUUGUAAAGUGCUGUUAUAAGGGAAGAACAUUUGCAAUAGGAAAUGAUUGCAGACUGACGGUACCUUGUCAGAUAGCGAUGGCUAACUAUGUGCCAGCAGCCGCGGUAAUACAUAGGUCGCAAGCGUUAUCCGGAAUUAUUGGGCGUAAAGCGUUCGUAGGCUGUUUGUUAAGUCUGGAGUUAAAUCCCGGGGCUCAACCCCGGCUCGCUUUGGAUACUAGCAAACUAGAGUUAGAUAGAGGUAAGCGGAAUUCCAUGUGAAGCGGUGAAAUGCGUAGAUAUAUGGAAGAACACCAAAGGCGAAGGCGGCUUACUGGGUCUAUACUGACGCUGAGGGACGAAAGCGUGGGGAGCAAACAGG
rnacentral:rRNA from 1 species